CCACUUGGGAAAAGAAAGCAUCGCCGUGUCACUUUCUCCCAAGCCAAACAGGCUCUUAAAAGCAUAAUUUAAAGAAAAAACAAAAUACCAGCCACGGGAAAUUGAGUCAAGAAAACCUCUUUCGAAGCAAUCCAAUAGAUUAUAGAUGCAUAAGUAUUUGAUCAAGCCAAAUAUAUUCCUGUUCUAAUUUACCACAGCCCUAGUCCGUUUUCCUCUCAUCGAUCCUUCCUCCCUCGUGUACCUUUACCUCCUCCUGACCUGCAAUCAGCCGCUUCUCCCACAAAGCUACAUCGUCGCAUCUCUCUCUCUCAACAAAUCGGUGUUCAUUUUCUAUAACCUCUUUUUAGUUGAUCGACUUGAAUAUGAACAUGAUUAAAUCGUUGUAAGAGUUGGUGUUCGAUUUGGUUGUAAACUAUUAAGAGAAGUUUGAUGGAUACCAAUAAUUGGAGGCCCACCACAGGCCAAGGCCCUGUAGGAGGGAUAGGAGGUGGAGGAGGAGCAGGAGAACCCACCAUGGACGCCGGCGAUUGGAGGACCGAAUUGCAGCCCGAAGCUCGGCAAAGAAUUGUCAGCAAAAUAAUGGAUACAUUGAAGAGGCAUCUACCCGUUUCUGGUCAAGAUGGUUUGCAGGAACUCAGGAAAAUAGCUAUCAGGUUUGAGGAAAAGAUUUUUACUGCUGCCACAAGUCAGGGAGACUACCUACGAAAAAUAUCUCUAAAGAUGCUUACAAUGGAAACAAAGUCUCAGAAUCCUCCAGCCAAUUCUUUGCCGCCCAACUCUACUGGCAAUGGCAAUAAGCCCCCAGAUCCGGGGAUGUCUGGUGUGCAAUCCCAACUUCACAAUCAAGGGCAACCACUUCCUAUCCCACUGUUAGCUAAUCCAUCACAAUCACGGCAACUGUUAUCGCAGAACAUUCAGAAUAGUGUUUCGUCUGCUGGAGUUCAAGCCACUCCAACUUUAACAUCUGCACUGCCUCCUGCCUCUAGUAUAAACCAGACUUCUAUCCCAAAUGCUGUCGGCCAGAAUACCAAUGUGCAAAAUAUAUCUGGAACUUCACAGAACUCAGUGGGGAAUUCAAUGGGUCAAGGGAUUCCAUCCAACAUGUUUGCAAAUAAUCCGCGGCAAAUGCAAGGAAGGCAACAAGUUGUUUCCCAGCAGCCGCAGCAGCAGCAGCAGCAGCAGCAGCAGCAGUCACAAAAUCCGCAGCAGUAUACUUACCAGCAGCUGUUCCAACAACAUUUCUUGAAGCAGAAGUUCCAGCAGGGAAACAUCCCACAUUCACUUGUGCAAUCUCACAUUCAGCAACGGCAAAAUCUAUUGCAAACCAAUCAGAUGCAAUCUCCUCAGCAAUCGGCCAUGCAAACAUCAUCUGUCAUGCAGCCUUCUCUCUCUGGUCUUCAGCAGAAUCAGCAGCCACCUAUUCAACAGGCGACACAUUCCAUGCUUCAGCAACAUCCGCAUUCAGUUCUUAGGCAGCAGCAACAGCCGCAACAGGCAGCUGUUAUUCAUCCACAGCAAGCACCAAUGCAGCAUCAGCCAAUACUGCCUCCACAGCAGCAUCAACCGCAGCAGCCAAAUGCUGCAAAUAUGCAACAGAACCAAUUAAUUGCACAACAGAGCGGUGUUGGGGACAUGCAGCAGCAACAGAGGCUGCUUGGCCAGCAGAAUAAUCUUCAGACUAUGCAGCAGCAGCAGCACCAACAACAAUUAAUGGCUCAGCAAAACAACUUCUCUAGUAUGAAUCAGCAACAGUUGGGCUCUCAAAGUAAUGUUUCUGGGUUACAACAGCAGCAACAGCAGUUGCUUGGAGCUCAGUCUGUUAACUCAAGUAUGCAAACUACGCAGCAUGCAGUACACAUGCUACAACAGUCCAAAAUUCCAGUGCAGCAACAACCACAACAAAGCACAUCUAGUUUGUUAGCAACUCAAGUACAGCCAUCACAAUCACAACCACAGCCUCCACAGCAGCAAUUGAUGUCUCAGAUUCAGUCACAACCUUCACAGUUGCAACAACAGUUGGGUAUGCAACAGCAGCCAAAUUCUUUACAAAGGGAUAUGCAGCAAAGGCUUCAAGCAUCAGGUCAACCAUCGAGUACCUUACUUCAACCACAGAAUGUAAUUGAUCAGCAGAAGCAGUUAUAUCAGAGAGCCGUUCCAGAUACAUCGUCGACAUCUCUUGAUUCGACAUCUCAAACGGGGAAUGCAAAUGGGGGUGAUUGGCAAGAGGUCUAUCAAAAGAUCAAAGCUUUGAAGGAGAUGUACUUGCCUGAAUUAAAUGAAAUGUACCAGAAAAUUGCUACAAAAUUGCAGCAGCAUGAUUCUCUCCCACAACAACCAAAGUCAGAGCAGCUUGAACGAUUUAAAAUGUUUAAGCUUAUGUUGGAGCGUAUUAUAGCAUUCUUACAGGUUUCCAAAAGCAAUAUAUUACCCAAUUGUAAGGAGAAGUUGGUAUCCUAUGAGAAGCAGAUAUUAAAUGUUGUAAACACAAAUAGGCCCAGGAAGCCUGUUUCCUCACUGCAGCAAGGACAGCUUCCCCAGUCUCACAUGCACUCCAUGCAGCAACCACAACCUCAAGUUACUCAAAUGCAGCCCCAUGAAAGUCAAAUGAACCCUCAGUUGCAAUCAAUGAGCUUACAAGGUUCUGUGGCAACAAUGCAGCAGAACAAUAUGACGAGCUUGCAGCAUAAUUCAAUGUCUUCUUUAUCUGGGGUUUCAACCACACAGCAAAACCUGAUGAACUCAUUGCAGACUGGUACCAAUUUGGACUCAGGACAGGGCAAUACAAUGAGCCAAGUACAGCCGGUGGCUAUGGGAUCUCUACAACAAAACCCUGUGACUUCUUCUCAACAGGCAAACGUCAGCACCUUGUCCUCGCAGAGUGGAUUAAAAGGGCUACAGCCAAGCAUCAAUCCUCUUCAGUCAAAUUCCAAUAUCCUUCAACAACAGCAUCUGAAACAACAGCAGGAACAGCAAAUGCUGCAGACACAACUCAAACAACAAAUUGAACAGCGUCAUAUGCAGCAUCAAUUGAUGCAGAAGCAGCAGCAAAUAAUGCAGCAGCAACAGCAGCAACAGCAGCAUCAGCAGCAGCAGCAUCAGCAUCAGCAGCAGCAGCAGCAGCAGCAUCAGCAGCAGCAUCAGCAGCAGCAUCAGCAUCAGCAGCAGCAGCAGCAUCAGCAGCAGCAGCAGCAGCAGCAUCAGCAACAGCAGCAGCAGCAGCAACAGUUACACCAACAACCAAAGCAGCAGCUGUCAGCACAGUUGCAGACACACCAAAUUUCACAGAUUCAUCAAAUCAAUGAUGUAAAUGACCUUAAAAUGAGACAGGGGUUGGGUGUUAAGCCAGGGGUCUUUCAGCAACAUCUAUCUGGAGGCCAGCGUGCUGCUUAUUCCCACCAGCAGUUAAAAUCAGGAGGUUCAUUUCCUAUAUCUUCACCCCAACUCCAGGUUGCGUCCCCACAGAUUCUGCAACACUCUUCUCCACAGAUUGAUCAGCAAAAUGUCUUAUCAUCUCUCACUAAAGCUGGAACACCUCUGCAAUCAGCAAGCUCGCCUUUUGUUGUCCCAUCUCCUUCUACUCCUUUGGCUCCUUCUCCUAUGCCUGGGGAUGCUGAGAAACCUAUUACUGGUGUUUCCUCACACUCAAAUGCUGGAAAUAUUGGGCACCAACAGACAAGUGGUGUGGGAGCACCAGUUCCAUCCCUUGCCAUUGGCACCCCUGGGAUAUCGGCCUCACCUUUGCUCGCUGAGUUUACUGGUCAAGAUGGCACUCUGGGCAAUGCUUUGAUGAAUGUUUCUGGAAAGUCGAGCAUUACAGAACAACCUCUUGAACGUUUAAUUAAAGCGGUAAAAUCAAUGUCACCUAAAGCAUUGAGUGCCUCUGUUAGUGACAUUGGUUCAGUUGUGAGCAUGAUCGAUAGGAUAGCAAGUUCAGCACCAGGUAAUGGAUCCAGGGCUGCUGUUGGUGAGGAUUUGGUUGCCAUGACAAAGUGCCGCCUCCAAGCAAGAAAUUUCAUCACACAAGAUGGAACCAAUGGGACAAGGAAAAUGAAGCGCUACACAAGUGCCAUGCCCUUAAGUGUUGUUUCAUCAGCUGGCAGUAUGAAUGAUAAUUUCAAGCAGUUGAUGGGUUCAGAGACCUCUGACCUGGAGUCAACUGCAACUUCUAGUGUCAAGAGGCCUAGGAUUGAGCUAGUUCUUCUCAUCAUGUAAAAAGAAACCAAGUCCCCCCCAUCUUGGUUAAUCCCGCUCUUUUAGAAGAAAUAAGGGAGAUAAACCAGGGACUUUUUGACACAGUUGUUGAUAUCAGUGAUGAAGAUGUCGAUCCAACUGCCACAGCUGCUGCUGCUGAUGGGGGUGAAGGAACCAUUGUCAAGUGCUCUUUCAUUGCCGUGGCUCUCAGUCCAAACUUGAAAUCUCAGUACACUUCUGCACAAAUGUCACCGAUUCAGCCAUUAAGAUUGCUUGUUCCCUCAAAUUAUCCAAAUUGCUCCCCGAUUCUCUUGGACAAAUUUCCAGUUGAAGUCAGUAAGAAGUAUGAAGAUCUUUCGGUGAAGGCAAAGUCAAGGUUUAGCAUAUCUUUGCGAACCCUUUCACAACCCAUGUCGCUUGGCCAGAUAGCAAGGACUUGGGAUGUUUGUGCUCGAGCGGUUAUUUCCGAGCAUGCACAGCAGAGCGGCGGGGGUACUUUCAGCUCAAAAUAUGGGACUUGGGAGAACUGCUUGAGCACUGCAUGAUCAUCUUUAUGGGUUGUAGACCCACACAAAGUUACCAUUGCUAGAGUUUUGUUACAAUCAACCUUUGAUGCAGAGUUUGCUGCAGCUGCGCCUGGCAAACAGUUUUUGGAAAUAAGACUUACAUUAGCUGCCAUGUUUAUCAAGGGAUAUAUAUAUACGUAGUUGCUUGUAGAGAAAGUUCGUCAAUUGUCAACCUCAAUCCUCCUGGAUUGAAGACAAGACUUGGUGUAAUAAUGUAUAUUGUAGAACACAGAAUUAAUCCCGCAUUAUAGAAAUGUAUA